CUCGGCCGGGAGGGUCUGGAUUAUGCAUCCGGAGAAUUAUGGUGCCGCCAAGGGGGAAGCUGGAGUCAAGGAUGCAUCAGUCAAGGCGGGGCCUGUACCAUUCUAUGCAGCUGGAAUCAGUUAGGUUUGUGAUCGUGAUUCAACAUUCGGCCUAAAAAGAGCAGCUUAUUCGGGAGCGUGUUCACAGUGGAUGGGAAAGUGCUUUCGGGGAUGACAGCUACCUUAUAGGGGCUGUGCAGCCUGUUGGACGUUGUGGAAGGGUGCGGGGAUGCGCUUAGGGAGCGGAAUUGGGUGCAGAAGAGCUACUAUCUGCAGUCGGCCCUCGCAGCAAGGCUCACCUUGCAAGCGUUCUUGGCCGGCCAGCCGCUCCUUUUGCCUGAGAACUUUCAGGAGACUUGCAAUGUCGUCUCGCCUUUGGGUGGGCCUCUCUCUUAAUGAUACAUACUGCUCCUCAAAGCUUAAUAAUACAGGACUGUCACAUCGC